GGGGCUGAUCGGUUUCGACUACGUGCGUCGAGGUAGGGGAAGCGUGUCGGUGCAGGCUGGAGACCACCGUGAGCGUCGCAGCAAACCAAUUAAGCGCCGAUAAGAAUCAGCGCGACUACGCACUCGCCGCCUGAGCGAGUAGCUAGUCUGUCGGCCCGGAGAUGUCCCCGCUCCGGUUCCCGGCAUCAGCUAGGGGACUCACCGUCCGACCCGGUCGCGGGGCCGGACGGGACAACCAACAGCGACUGGGAUCGUCAUCUCGGCUCGUCCGCAUGACCGAGAGAUCCGAGUAGAGGCAUAGCGGACUGCACACGGAGAAGCCCUGCUGAAGCGGCGGAGGACCCGGGUUCGAUUCCCGGCAGCUCCACC
rnacentral:tmRNA from 1 species